UACAGGAGAUUCAGUUACCUGUUCCCGGCCGGACUGAAAGGAAGUGCACACUGAGUGCUCACUUCCUUUCAGUCGGGCCGGGAACAGGUAAGUGAAUCUCCUGUA